rnacentral:lncRNA from 1 species
ACCACAGAAUUCCAAUUCAGUCUUUUACUACCAGGAACAUAAAAAUGCAAUAUCUGGGGCAGUUCAAGAAAAAUAAUUAAAGAUCAAAUUAAAGAAGAAAAAACUUGGAGGGCAAAACCAGCAAGCUAAGUUUUAAAAAUAAUUGUGAAGAGUGUGAAAAACGAACUUAGAGCAUCAUUGCCAGGUAGAAGAAAGGACAACAAAUGUCACAGAAGAAUUCUCCAGGAGUUUAUCCAGAACUUGACUACUGCCAGGAGCCAAGGCCACUAUUUUCAGUAAUGGAGGAGGAACUGGG